AGCGCUUGAGUCCCGGCGAUCUUUGGUGGCCCGGGCGGGGCUUGGUGGGUGUGCUUGCUCCCCAGCCUGGUGCUCUCAGAUUGCCAAACGGAAAAAUACCCAUAAACCUAAAAAUGAGCAGCCCCAACCAAGAGAAAAGUGCGAGGCCGCUCUUAGCAGAAUGCACGAGGCAUUUCUCCUGCACUGGGCAGACGAUGACUCGGUUUGCCUCUGAAAAAGUAGGAUUCUAUCUACAAAAACAAGACGGCUUCACAUCCGGCACUGGACGAACAGGCCUGUAAUCCUGGCACUAGGGAGGAUGGCCACUGGAGGAUCCCUAAUUCGAGUCCAGACUGAAGAACAUAAAGGCAGCAAAUGAAAAAUGAAUGGGCUCCCGGGACGGCCUUCUGUGCCUCUGCUACACGGGCACUCUGGAACCAAAGUUCUGAAAAGAUGUUCUUGGGCCAAGAAGAUGGAUCACAAGGUAAAUGUGCUUGUCCCCACCUUCCCCCAAAGCCUGACCACCAGAAUUCUGAACUAUGAAUAAAUGCUAUGUAGAAGUGCUAUGGGAGAAGGAGAGAACCAACUUCCACUAGGUGUCUACUGACCUAAACACACACACACACACACACACACACACACACACAUGCACUUGCAAACAUACAUAUCAUACAAACACACAUGCAAACACAUCAUAUAAACACAAUUGUGCUGGCUAGUCUUAUGCCAACUUGACACACAAGCUAGAGUUAUCUGAAAGGAGGGAACCACAAUUGAGAAAAUGCCACCAUAAGAUCUGACUGUAGGGCAUUUUCUUAAUUAGUGAUUGAUGAGGGAGGCCACAGCCCUUUGUGGGUGAUGCCAUCCCUGGGCUGGCGGUCUUGGGUUCUAUAAGAAAGCAGGCUGAGCAAGCCAUAAGGAACAAGCCAGUAAGCAGAGUCCCUCCCAUGGCUUCUGCAUCAGCUCCUUCCUCCAGGUCCUUCCCUGCCUUGUUUGAGUUCCUGCCCUGUCUUCCUGUGAUGAUGGACUGUGAUGUGGAAGCAUAAGGAAAAUAAACCUUUUCUUUCCCA